CAUAUAUAUAUGCAUAUAUAAAGGCAUAUACAUAUAUACUUACAUAUACACACAUAUGCAUAUACAGACACACACACAUACAUAUAGUAUGCAUAUACACGAACACACAUCGAAACUGUCCAUAUAUUUUCACACACGCACAAACACACAAACAGACGAACUCAAAACAAUGCACACACGCAUUCAGGCUUGUGUAAUUUCUUGUAUACGCUACCACAAAACCGGAUAUAUGGACUCUUGUGUGUAUAUACCCAAGCUUAAAAAUACGUACAACUUUGUAUAUAUAUGUUGACGACCUGUUAUCGCUGGCGUUAGUCUGGUCAUGGAUUCAUGCUAUUGUACAUGUGGCUUUACAACCGAUUCUGCAUGUAGCAUCGACAGAAGAUGGCGUUCACCUACAACUAGCUUCCAUCAAAUUCUGUACUCAUCUUCUAUUACCCGGAGUAUUUAAUCACCUGACAUUCACGAUAUAUGACAGUGGAGUGCAGAGUAGAAAAAAAAAUUACGUACGAAUUUAUCUGACACCGCAAUUAUUAGGAACGUACCAAACAAUAUGAUAUCUGGAUUAAAACAUCCACCAUUAUCGUUCUUGGAGGCUUCGUUGCUUUUGGAAUAAAGAAACCCUAAAUACCGAAGACUGUGCCUUGUCGUUGAAAUGAAAUGAGCUCAGAUCAGGCAAGAUGUUGGCAUAGCUGAGGACUUUAAUAUCAGCUGUGCUGCAUGUUGCCAUCUUUGGGCUCGUGUUGACUGCAAUACAGAGAUUCUGAAGAAUUUACCAUUCUGAAGAAUACGCCAGUAUGGGAGAAGCGAGAAGAGACUUUUAUUAAGAGAAGACCAACAGCGAACCGAUAAGAUGAGCCGAAUAAAGGAGCUGCCAAUUUGAAUUGAAGCAUUUUUCAGACCGUUAUUUACAUAGUUUAAUUGUUAUUAAUGUUUUUACUGAUGUUGUUGUUGUUGUUGUUGUUGUUGUUUAAUCUGAGGUAAGCCUCGAUAAUGCGAGAAUGUAUGAAUAAUAGCCUUUGGACCGUAACUGACCGUGCGUAGUUUUCAGACAGGCAGGAAGGGUGGGUUUGGAUCCAAUUAUACAACACACACACACACACACACA